AUGCUUGCUGAGAGCAAGGUGAGUCCCGUUGGCUUUGAAUGCCAGCUCAACUCGCUUCUUCUGAAACACGUCUCCCAGUAUUUCUCGGCAUCUCGCAGGACUGUCACGGAAUCUCAAAGACGAGCCAUGCAGGUGGCCACCCUGUGUUCUCUGCCUCUGCUCCACCGCCGUCUGCAGCCACUCAAGCUUCAGGAAGGCACCUCUGCUGCGGGUGUCCCUGGAGGCAUGAGGGGACCCUGCCCGGCGCUCCCCCAGCAGCCAGGGGCCGGGGUUCGGGUCCUGCCUGCCAGCCUCGCCCAUGUCCACCUGACGGUAUUCACCCCAUCACUGUGCCCUCAGCUCUGGCUUUCCACAUCCUGGCUGCCACUGAUGAUUCCAAAAAGGACUCAAGUCAGUGUAGAGUGCUGUGAAAAUAGAGCCAAGUGAAAUAAAUAUGACCGUAAGUGAGAAAAAGAAGAGGGAAAGAAAAGGUCAACUGUGUUUCCCGCCUGGUUCCUGCAAGGUGGGCUAGAAUCCUUCUGUUGUGCAUUCGAGCCAUUUACCUGUUUUAGGAUCAGAUCUGGAAACAUGUCUGAGAUGUUGGAGAUGGCUCUCCAGAUGGCCUGACUACUGAGGGGCUGGACGUGGGGUUCUCCAAACCCAGCUGAGGGGCCAGCGCGUGGGGCGCAGCCUCCCUGUGUGGCAUUGGUUAUCUCCUCACGGUCACACACCCGAGCCCUGACUUCUGUUGCCACCACUGCUGGCCUCGAAAGUGAAGCAAUAAGAACUUGGACACCUGAGAACCGGGCGUCUGACAAAUUAAAGGUGUUUUGGCAGGAAGCCAUCUCCUGAGUGCCCUGCUUUUAACAGAAGGUUCCUUGUCACAGACACAGAAUGCAGGUAAAGCCAGGGCCUGAGGCAGUGCUGAUUCCAAAGGAAAGAAAAGAAAGCUGCUUUGGGUUUCUUUCUUUUUUUUUUGUUAUCCUACCUCACAGGGUUAUUGAAAGGAUUAAAUGAAUACAGAAAGACCUACUGUAAUUUGUGCCUGGAUGCAGAUCAGGGAGAAAUAUUUUCUCCUAAACAGUGAUAACAGCUAACCCUGCAUAAAACCUGCUCUGUGUUUUGUGACGUCUGCCUCUUAAUCUCUUGCAUUUUGUAAUAAGCUGAUGAGGUGGCUAUGGCUGUGCUCCAUUUCACAGACGCACAGAGAGAUGAGCAGCUCCUGGCUGGCCAGAAAGUAGCCGAGCUGGCCUUAAUGCACCAAGCUUCUCCUCUCUCGUGGGUGAGCACAGGAGGUAGCGAUGGCUAUUUUGUUAACAUCAAUUUAGAUCAGUCAAGUUGGAGAAGGAAAUGGCAACCCACUCCAGUGUUCUUGCCUGGAGANNNNNNNNNNNNNNNGAGCCUGGUGGGCUGCCGUCUAUGGGGUCACACAGAGUCGGACGCGACUGCAGCGACUCAGCAGCAGCAGAGUUAGCCAGGAGCAAGCUAGCAAACUCCCACCCA
rnacentral:lncRNA from 1 species